UUUUGUCACAGUACGUAUAAUUUUUAAAGUAACCCCAAAACCACAUAGUUAGCAUGUGAUAGCUCUGAAUCCAUGUGUCUGCCUUGCAGUGGAAGUUAAAGAUGCAUUAAAUCCUCACCUUAUUAACCAUAAAGCAAACUGGAUAACAGCCACAGCAGCCUUAGCUAUGGUUAGCCUGUGUUCCCAGGGAUGUCGGGGUGUUCCUGAUGGGGCAGAAGGAAGAGCUCCAGUCCCUCUGUGAGGCCCCUCAAGCUCUGAGUGAAAACAACAGCCCCUCCCACAUAAGCAUAUUUGUUCAGGUGAUGUUCCAGGGAAGAGCUGCAGAACUACUUUCAUUUGCUGGCUCAGAAGAGCCUGUGUCUCUUUAAGACCUCCAGAUCCCUUGGAAGUUUGCCUUCCUUGCUUUGCCUGCAUCUCUGUGGAACUGAUGCAAUACAAAUCCAGAGCCCUGGGACACACAGGCCCCUCCUGCCGUUCUCUUCCACGCCGUGUUUUGUGCACAGACACAGAGGAAUGAGGGCAGAUCAGGCUGGAAAGGUCCCUGUGCUGAAGGUCCAGUUCCACAACACUGUGCAGUUACAGAUCUUGCUGAGCACCCUGGACCCCCUGGACUUUGGAAGAGCCAGCCUGAGGACGCUCUGAACCCAGCUGUGAGGGAUUCCAUGGCAAGCAUCCACAGAGGGCAAAGGAGCUUGGAAAUGCUGGAUGGUUUCAAGAACAGCUUCCUGAAAGCACAGCAGUGCUCCAUCCCUUCACAGGAUCAGGAAGAGGGCAGAACCAGAGACCAUCUGGGCUUAACAGAGAGCUUUGGGUGUGCCUAAGAGCAAAUGAAGCAGCAGCACGGUGCCCAAGAUUCAGAAGUGCAACCGUGCCAGUGCCCGGAGCCCUGUCAGACAGUGCUGGGAUCUUGGGUGUGGUUCUGGUCCCCACAGCUGAGGAAUGGCAGCCCCAGCCUCAGACCCAGUCAGAAAUCUAAGCAAGUGAGACCAGAGGGAGGGCACCCUUCCAGUUUCUCUGGGGCAUGGCCGCCAAAUAACCCCUGCUGCUUCUUCCUCCGCCUGUGUUUGGGGUGUGAUGCUGGCAGAGCCAGCUAGGUUGUGCUCUGUGUUCCAAAGCCUGUUGGGUGCAGGCAUGAAAAGCACUGUGUGCACAGUGGAGAGUCCUGGAAGGUGCUGGCAAGAGCAUCCUGCAGGGACAGGGCUCUGGUGUCUGGCUGGAAAAGCCUGGUUUUGCUGCUGUGACCACAGGCAGGAGUUGAGGCAGCUGAAGAGGCAGUGAGCAGCCUGUGUUUGUAGAGGGCCUGGGGCUGCACGCCUGAACCUCCACCUGGAAACUCACUUGGGGAAUACGAGCUAGAGCUGGAGUGCCUGUCCUGAAAGAUCCUGAAGUCAUUCAGCCUUGCCAGCUUUUCUAAAGGUGUUCCCCAGGAAAGCUACACAUUUGGGGAAAUGCCUUUGGAGGAAAGGGGCUUGCUUCUCAAGGAAAGUGCUUCCCAGGGAGCUCCCAGUGAGGUAGGUAAAAGUGUCCCUUUUGGCUCUCUGUGCUCCUUUCAGUCCUUGAGGCCUGUUGCACUUGGCAGAGGGGCAGGGCAGUGAAUAGCGGGUUUGGCAUCUGCCUGGACCUGUGGAGACCAAGCCAAGCACCUGCAGCAGGGUGUCUUCCCCCACUUUGGACAGAGGUGUGAGCAGGAGAAUCUCUGUCCAGCCACAAGCUCCAAAACUCUCUGAGAUCUGUGAAUUAAAAGUCUUUAUGCACACACUUUUCACAUCUUCCCUGUCUGCUGUGUUUCAACUCUUGGCAAGAUGCAGUUGCCUCUUGCUUGGUGGAAGCUGCUGUG